AAAAAAAAAGAAAACUCAGGACUUGGGGAAAAGAAGUUCCUAUUGAAGUAUUAAGAGGAUAAUUAUUUUUUUGGAUGGGAUUCUUCAAUAUUUUCACACUUAGACUUUUGUAUUACUCUGCUCUGGCAGGCAGUGGGCUCUUUAGAGAGACCCUUACUUAUCUGGAUUUUUUUUUUUAAUCCAUUCUUCUAUGGGCAGUUCAUACCCCUGAUCGAAGAAACCAAUCCUUGGACAGGCACUGCUUCUCCCUCAUGCUAUGGCUUCUGCCUCCAGAGGAGCCAGCCAUACACUGUGCUUUGUGAACGCUAGUCUCUGCUACCACUCUGUGUCUGAAACCAGAGAUAGAAGAUGGAACUCUGUCUGUGGACAAAAAUCAGUAUGUGGAGCCUGAAAAUGCCACUGUCCAGUGUGACCCUAGCUAGGGUGUGGUUGGUUCUCCAAAUAUCACCUGCUCAGAGUUCAGAACCUGGUACCCAGAUGUGCCCAAGUGUGAGUGGGUUGUCCAUAAUGGCUGUGAGCAAGUGCUUGCAGGCUGGAAACUCAUGCAGGGUCUCUUAAAUCCAGAGGAGGUAACUACAGCCCUGGAGUUGUACAGACUGUUCCUGGAGGUUGAACUACUGGAGUGACAAAGAAACAGGCAACACAAUUCCCCGAGGAGUCACCACUGUAAUUUUUCCCAAAAGAGGGAGAUAAAAAGUGCCAUACUACCUUUAACUCAGUAUGGAUCACUUUAGUUUAUCAACUUUACCAUCCUUUUGGCACAAAAAUUUAUCAUAAUAAAUUUUCACAUAUCACACUGUUUGUCUUCAUGGUCAUUUAAGACC